GCCGGGCUUAGUAACUCAAGCUUGUCACCCAAGUGGGGGCCUUAAGGUAAUGGGACAUGGGCUUGAACUCAUUGGGCCGGGCCUGUGCUGGGCUGAUAUCUGGCCCGCCCGUUCCAAGCCGAGAGUUGGGUCAUGUGGCCCGAGCGAAGGCUCGGGUUUCUUGGACCACUAGAGUGGAGGGGACCGCGUGAGGCUGGCUUCACAGAGCAGCGAAAACCUCCCGCUCCCAGCAGUGGAAGGAUAACGGGCCGUGGCCUCUCAGGCCCAUCAUGGUCCAAUGGUCCAAUCCCACUUGAACCAUCACCUUU
rnacentral:SRP_RNA from 1 species